UACAGAGGGUGCAAACGUUGCUCGGAAUCAUUGGGCGUAAAGCGCGUGUAGGCGGCUUUGCAAGUCGGGUGUGAAAGCCCUCAGCUCAACUGAGGAAGUGCGCCCGAAACUGCAGAGCUUGAGUGCCGGAGAGGGUGGCGGAAUUCCCCAAGUAGAGGUGAAAUUCGUAGAUAUGGGGAGGAACACCGGUGGCGAAGGCGGCCACCUGGACGGUAACUGACGCUGAGACGCGAAAGCGUGGGGAGCGAACAGG
rnacentral:rRNA from 1 species